UUUUUUUUCCCCUCUAUUCCUGGGGUACAAGUUCAAGAGAAAAUCUAAUAGUAUAUAUCAACUUUGGGGAACUAGACCAGAACUCAGAAGUGACACCUAGAAGGCAGUUGAGUGGCGAUGCUCAUGGUGAGAUGGGUGUGGGGUGAACUUAGAGAGUGACGUUUGAACUAGAUAGCAACUGGGAGUGGAACACUGAAUUCUACUCGGAGGCACUUGAUUUGAAGGAACAUUUAUUUGAAACUUGUAAGAAUGGACCAGGACAUGUGGGGAUACAAAUAGUAUCUCUCUGUCUCUACUGGUUCUCACGAGGAGAACGGGUUGUGUUCAUAUAGCAAACUUCCUAUGGUGCAAAGUCUGCUUUGUGACUACUGUUCAUACCUAGUGCAGGGAGAAUCCCUGUAAGAAAACGUCUCUUCCUUCUCACCAGUAUAUUCACAGAGGGAUCCCUCCCAUGCUUGGCCCUGGCCCAAUACCUCUAAAUUUAGGCAAGGGUAGUUUUCAGUUUGUGCUGGAUCCAGCCCAGUGAGAAGUGGGAAAAUAUAUUUCCUUUCUUCCUCCUCCUCCUAUUUUUUUUUCCAUUCUGAUCCACUGCACUUCGACCCUUAGUCAACUGCUAAGAGCCAGUGAAGUUUCUCAAAUUCUGAUUCUUUUCUUGAUAGCUGGAUUUCUAACAAGAGCUCACAUUUCAGAUGUGGAGCAGUUCAGUCCAUCGUGAACUAACAGCUGGAGGGCUGUGGGUCAUAGGAUGUAGAUGGGGGCACAUCUCUGAACUGAGGUAGAGAAGAAGACUUGGGAAAAGAUUGAGGUGAUGCUCUGGCUGCCUGUAAAGGUCACUGAGCUCAAGAAAGAGAACCUGUGGAAAGGAAACCAUACCUGGGUAUGCUAACAAAUACAUGCCCUGGUCUGUGAGGCUCAACAGUAGGUAAAGGUGGUUUUUAAAAGACACAAAAUGAGUCACACCUGAGGCUGGUGAGCAGUGAUGAUCUGAGCAGAGUGGAAAAUAGAUCCAUCCCAGAAGCCUCCAGCAUAGGGACCAGAGGGCUGCCAAAUGCUGAAAGGAAGGCUCACAGGACAGGCUUGCCCACAUGGUUAGCAGCUGGGAUCUUACUGAUAAAAGAUCAGAAAUACGAAUGCGUGAGGAAAAGAGAGUUUACUGAUUGCCUAUACAUACCUCUGAAUGAAUGUUACUUUUUCUUAAAUAAAAAAUGUUUUACUUGAAAUUACAAUUUUUUUCAGGGUAGCCUUACAAAGGAAAAUUCUGUGAUGCUAAAGGAGUUGAAGGCCACUUUAUUGUAGCUGAGAACCUAUAUUGAUCUUGGAUGGGCAAGAUAGGGCCUUGGAGCUGAGUGUAGGAAUAGCGAUCAGAAAUUAGUGAGCACUGCUUAGUUGAGGAGAAGAAUUUGAGCUCCUGGAGGUAAGGCAAAGGUGAAGAGUGAAAAUCAGUGUCCAGGAGGAAAUAGUCUACAAGGUGCCAGGAGAGCCUUAGCAGAAGAGACGCAGAAUGGGGGCAGCAGGUCAGGGAUGGAAAAUGGCACUUGACUCAGCAAAUUUGGCCAAAGCUGGAGCUAGAACAGCACAGAGCCUCCAGCUUUCCACUCCAUCCUGGAAUGACAAGCUUCCACCUUAAAGGCGGGUGCUCCCAAAUAAACAGAUUGAAAUAACUCAGUGACCAGACUGUCAUUCCAAGGUUGAGAUAUCUUUAGGAGUGUUGUGUCACCACCUAAAAUAAUGUAGGGAACAAAUAACAGAAAAGCUUUAAGCAAGAAUGAACUGAUAAAGAUAUCCACGUUCUGUACUCCUCUAGACCAUGAAUCCACUGACAGAGGGCUUUUGAUUCGUUUUCAUUAUUUCAGCGACUGAUCCAGUGUUGAAUAAAUGUUUGUGAAAUGAAGAAGUGAGUAACAAGAGGAAGAAAGAGAAGUGAGGAGCAGGGCAGACAACAGGCCGUCAUUGGCUAGAAGCAACCAAAUAGCACAGCAAAUAUUUUCAGCUUAGCACCUUUAAUGUCUUCCUUCUCUCUAUAUGGAACUCCCCCCCACUCCUCACACACAAAUACACACACAGUUUGGUUUCCUCACCUGCUACAAGUUAUCUUCUUUUCUCACCCUAUUUAAAAGCACAACUCUCCCCUAAACCAGAUUUAGUAUUUUUCAUUCUGUUUCCCGCUUUUCUUUUCUGCAUGGCCUGCAUGCCAUCUGGUCCAUUAUAUACUUUCUGCAUAUUUAUUUCAGUCACUACACUUUUGUUUGUAAGCCCCAGGAUGGCAGGAAAGCCUGACCGUUUUGCUCAUUGACAUGUCCUUAGCAACUAAUGGGCUCCUGGCCUGGAGUAGGUACUUUUGAAGAAAUGAAUGUAUGAAUGAGUGAAUAAAUUCAUGAAUGAGUAAAGAUGCCUAUGUGCAUCAUGAAACUGGUCAUUUGAAAAUAAGAAAUGAUGUUUUCCCCUCCAGACUAAAAGAGUCACAUUGAAGAAGUUAAAAAAGAAAAAAAGAAAAUGGGAAGAAAAAGGAAAACCCAUUACCAGAUAUGAAUUAAAGCCUGUCUGCUUUUAUGUAUUCAAAACCCCAAUGAACCCAGAACAGUAGUCAGAAGCUGGACCUAAUUUCUAGGAAGGAAAUUAGAAGCUUAUUUUCUGUCUUUCCAUUGCUUUUGAAUCUGUGUCCUGAUACAAGCCAAAUGUUGUCUGUCAGCCCGUUACAGCGUGUGCUCUCAUGUGCUGCCACACUUUUCAUUGCUGUCCCCCCGAGUUAAACUGCUCUGUUCUGCUGCCUUGCUAUCUAAGGCUCAAGAUAAAAAUGCUCAGUUGCUGUUGCCAUGCUGUCUGUCUCCAGUGUGUAAAUGCUUCCAUAUCAUGGGGUUUGCAUCUGACUACGUCUUGGCGGCUUCCAAAUAAGACUUAGAGAAACCAAGCGACCACUGUGAUGAUGACUAAACAUUUUGCAGAACAGUGAGAGGGAAAGACAGGUAUGGCUCUGAUGGCUCAGUUUUCCCUUCUGAUCAGCAUCAUCACCACCAUGUAGAGAGGAUGGAUUUCUAGCAAUCACCAUUGUGGGCACAGCUGUGACUGGUCAACAGAUGCACUUCUGUUACUCUGAGCUUUCCCCAAGAAUAUGGAAUUAGAUGAAACUUCAUAAACAAAACAAAUAGAUUGAGCCUUUAUUCACAUGAGAUAUGCAUAGAAGGAGGCUUUUGACUUCUCCCUGGUCCUUGUUUUUAUACCUUUGCAGCAAGUAGCAGAUGUUGGGAAUUCUAUAGAAUUUUUUAAAAAAAUGCUAAUGUCCACUAAAGCCUGAGUGGUAUUUAACGCAAAAGUGCAGGGACAUUGAAAUUCAGAAUUUCCAACAAGUUAUGUUUAUUAGCAUCAUUCACAUAUGCUUAUUCUUUUUGAGUCUUUAGGAUGUUCUUUGAUGUAAGUCCAAGUGGUGGUAUAAAAGGGUGUAGGCAAAGGUAUGUGAUACUCUUACUCACUGAAAGGGAAAAGGCAGCACCAGGUAAACUCAGUUGUCAUCCACUCAUAAGCCUUGUCUCAGUAAAGGUUUAGGGCAGCAUGAAAUACCAGAGAAUGUGCCCUCUUGGGGAUUAUGUAUAUCUACCAUUUAUCUAAAAUACCCUCCCACUGGCAUGGCUACUUUCUAAGUUUCUUCUGUAACAUUCAGAAAUUCAGUUCAUUCAGGACAUUUUCUCAACCUUUCUACCAUAUUUUUUUCCAUGUGUCUUCUUAGAGUUUAUAAAACUAGAAUACAAAAAAGAAAAGUUAUCAUAAGGGGCCAUUUGUCAAUAUUUGUUUUGGGUGUAUUUAUUUAUAAUAUAGAAAUCAUGUUAUCUUGAAGCAUAAACAGUUAGGGCUUUUGGCAGGGGUGUUUGAAUAAUGCUCUGAACUUGAUGAUAUUCAAUAAUUAUUAUCACUCGUAGAAAAUAAAGCCCACUCCCCAGAUUUGGAUUCACAGUUUUCGUCUGUAAAUUUAGAAGGAAAUAUUGAAGGCCAGACAUCAUUUGAUCUCUGUUCCCCUCUCAGUGGGAACUGAUGUAAACUGAAUAUUGUGAUCAUGUUAUGGGAACUUGCUUCGCUUUACUUACUGUUGAGGGAAUGCAUUGUGACAAGCAAUCUUAAUUUUAAAAGUUAAAAUUUUGAAAACAACAGUAAUCCAAUUUCACAUUGCACUUGAAGAAUAAAUGUCAAAUCUUGCAGAUUAAUUUGUACUUAGAAAAAAGAUUUUUCCAUGUUUCUUUUUCUAGAAGAUCUACCUGUCAUUGUUUGAGGAUAGGAGUCAGAUCCCAUGUUGCAGUCCUGCCUUUCCAGCGCCCUCUACUGGACACUACAGUUGAUGAAUAUAUUUAUCUCCACUCCUUCACAUUAGCUUGAGUUUAUUUCUAAAGUAUAGAAUCAAAUAGAAGGGUAGAAAGAAUUUGAGAAUUCUGUCCCUGCUUUCUCCUGGGGUCGUAUCCAAGGCACGUGAGAGAGAUGAACAUCUCCGCUGUUUUUCAAGACUGUUAGAAAGCAAAGAGUUUCAAAACUACUUUGGUUGAUGUUUUUACCCACCUGGCCUCAUACUAUGGCUGCCUUAUUGGGCAUUUAGGAUGACUUAAAUUACUGCACCUGCCAAAAGUGCUUUCAGGGUACUGUAAUCUAUAACACUACUUUUUAUCUUUUAAACACAAAAGAUGUGAUUUUCACUGGAGCAGAUGGAAUUUAUCAGUGCGACAGAGACAUUGUACAUGUGUUUAUCUCCGUCAUUUCUUUUCUAGUCAUAGUAAUGGCAGCAUGUACAUGAUGGAAAUUACAUACUGUUUUUUUUUUCCAUAGAAAAUAUCUAGAGGAGCAUACAUUUGCAUGUAAAAAUCUCAUGUUUCCUGCCAAAAAUAUAUUUUGUUCCAUUUUAAUGUGAAGAACCAAAAAUCCUUUAUUAUUAGACCAGAAGUUAGUAUCUAUCAGUAUUUAGCCUAGGUCCAUAAUACAGCCUUUGUUAUGUUUUGGUGUAUGUGAUUUAUCUCCAAAAUAUUAUUAGAAGAAUUUAAAACAAAAUGUGCUCAAUAUCCUGGUUAAAGCAGGCUUUCCCUACUCUUCUUUCCCUCCCUUGGUUACAGGUAGAAUUUGUUAACUGAAAGUAUUAAAGGGGAUGAAAUUUGGUAUACUUAAGAGCUGCUUUUGAUUGAGUUUGACUCCUUGAACAUUAAUCAUAUAUGAAUAUUUAUAAUAUAUCAAUGCAUGGCAAACCUACUCUGUCUUUUUUGGAAAUUUGCUAAGGCUUAGUGGUCCCCUGGCUGAUAUCAAAAGAUGAAAUCACCACUACCCCCUGCAACUUUCCAGUGAGUUCUAUAACUGCAAAAUCUUCAAAGCAUAAACUUCCUGAUGGAUAUCACAUCUUUUAAUUUUCUGAAAUUACUCUGUUAUUUCUUAUAGGAUGCAGCUAAUUAAACCGCUACAAUGAUGAAUUUAAAAAGUGCCACAAUAGUCAUAAUAAAACAUCUAUCUACAGUAGUUAAAAGUAGUUUUAAAAAGGCCAACAAACAUUACUCCAUAUGUUGGUAGUCAUAUGUUGGUAGUCAUAUGUAUUACCAUAUGUAAAACGUAUGUGCAUAUUAUAAAUAAUAGUGGUUUGGUGAAUACUCUGGAGUCAUUUUUACAAAUAUUCUUCUUCAAAAAGAAAACAAUGCAGAGGAAACGUACAAGAAUCUUUCACCUGAAAAAAAAAAAAAUCAAACUUUCUUCAAAGCUAGUGGAAGACCAACACACUGACCAUACCUGUCAGAACCUCUUGAAGUGUAAAUUUAGCCAGAGGACCAAACAUAGAAAGUUAAUGUCAAAUCUUUGAAUAGACAAAAUGUUCUCUUGGACUCAACAGGGACUGAGUCAGUGGUCAGGGACUGAGUCAUGAGCAGGAGGAGUUGAGUGUUUGAUUCUGUUCCUGUGUUUCUAGGUGGAAGAGUCUUAACAUCAAAUAUAUGUUGAGGGAAAAGAACCUACUCAACUUUCAAAAGUAUUCCAGCUUGUAGUAUUUUUGACCAUAUUGUCAUGCUUAUACCUUUUGUGAUAAUAUAUUAAAGAGCAAAAGGCCUCAAGCUAGAAUAAUUUUUAUCCAACUGCUGGACCCAGAAUUGCAAUUUACAUUUUUGUUACAUUACGCUAGCAACUACUGUUUACUAACUGCUUAUAGAACUAAAAAAUGCUGAAUAAAGCCUGCUACUGUAUUGGAAGAAGUGUUAGACUGGGAGUUUAGAACUGAGUUUGGUAUAUAUUUUUUUCUAUUGCUGUCACUAUGGGUUUCAGUGGCCUUGAAGGAAGGCGUUUGAUUUUAUUUUUUAAAUAAGAUCUUAGAAAUACUGACCUCAUCACCUGUAAUAAGUAUUGUUUGGUCUAAGAUGAUUAAAUCUUUUGCAGCUAUAAAUUGUCAAAAGCCAGACUUGUAUAUCCAGGGGCUUUGUCAACACCUUUGAUUAGAAAUUUAAUCAGAUCUCAACGGUAACAUUUUAAUAUGCCAGCAAAGAACCCAAACUUUUGACUUGCCGCCAUGCAUCUGCUUCUCAUCCAGUCUUCUCAAUCCCAAACUAUACAAAUAUUCAGGCCCCAAAUCCCAAAGUCUUCCUUUAUUCUUUCCCAAUUACAGAUCUUCCUUGACUUACAGUAGGCUUUUGUCCUGAUAAAUACAUUGUAAGUUGAAAAUAGUGUAAGUUUGGAGUGUAAUGGAAUUCCUGUCAUGAAUCUGACUAGCAUCCAUGAGGACACAGGUUUGAUCCCUGACCUUGCUCAGAGGUUAAGGAUCUGGCAUUAUCGUGAGCUAUGGUGGAGGUCACAGACGCAGCUUGGAUCUCACAUUGCUGUGGCUGUGUCACAGGCCAGCAUCUACAGCUCUGAUUUGACCCCUAGCCUGGGACCUCCAUAUGCCUCGGGUC
rnacentral:lncRNA from 1 species